CCUACGGGUGGCAGCAGUGAGGAAUAUUGGUCAAUGGCCGCAGGGCUGAACCAGCCAAGUCGCGUGAGGGAUGACGGUCCUAUGGAUUGUAAACCUCUUUUGUCAGGGAGCAAAGGGCGCCACGUGUGGCGUUUUGCGAGUACCUGAAGAAAAAGCAUCGGCUAACUCCGUGCCAGCAGCCGCGGUAAUACGGAGGAUGCGAGCGUUAUCCGGAUUUAUUGGGUUUAAAGGGUGCGCAGGCGGAAUGUCAAGUCAGCGGUAAAAUUUCGGGGCUCAACCCCGUCGUGCCGUUGAAACUGGCGUUCUUGAGUGAGCGAGAAGUAUGCGGAAUGCGUGGUGUAGCGGUGAAAUGCUUAGAUAUCACGAAGAACUCCGAUUGCGAAGGCAGCUUACUAAACUGCCACUGACAUUGAUGCUCGAAAGUGUGGGUAUCAAACAGGAUUAGAUACCCUGGUAGUC
rnacentral:rRNA from 1 species